rnacentral:rRNA from 1 species
AGCGAACGCUGGCGGCAUGCCUAACACAUGCAAGUCGCACGCGGGGGCUUCGGCCUCCCAGUGGCGGACGGGUGAGGAACGCGUAGGGACCUGUCGAGGGGUGGGGGAUAACCGCGGGAAACUGCGGCUAAUACCGCAUGACGCCGCGGCGUGACAGCCGGGGCCAAAGGCGAAAGCCGCCCGCCGAGGGGCCUGCGUCCGAUUAGCUGGUUGGCGGGGUAGCGGCCCACCAAGGCGUCGAUCGGUAGCUGGUCUGAGAGGGUGAUCAGCCACACCGGGACUGAGACACGGCCCGGACUCCUACGGGAGGCAGCAGUGGGGAAUAUUGGACAAUGGGCGCAAGCCUGAUCCAGCAAUGCCGCGUGGGUGAAGAAGGUCUUCGGAUUGUAAAGCCCUUUCGGCGGGGACGAUGGUGACGGUACCCGCAGAAGAAGCCCCGGCUAACUUCGUG